rnacentral:rRNA from 1 species
UACGAAGGGGGCUAGCGUUGCUCGGAAUCACUGGGCGUAAAGCGCACGUAGGCGGCUUUCUAAGUCAGGGGUGAAAUCCUGGAGCUCAACUCCAGAACUGCCUUUGAUACUGGAAAGCUCGAGUCCGGGAGAGGUGAGUGGAACUGCGAGUGUAGAGGUGAAAUUCGUAGAUAUUCGCAAGAACACCAGUGGCGAAGGCGGCUCACUGGCCCGGUACUGACGCUGAGGUGCGAAAGCGUGGGGAGCAAACAGG